UACGUAGGGGGCAAGCGUUGUCCGGAAUCAUUGGGCGUAAAGCGCGUGUAGGCGGUUCGGUAAGUCUGCUGUGAAAGUCCAGGGCUCAACCCUGGGAUGCCGGUGGAUACUGUCGGACUAGAGUACGGAAGAGGCGAGUGGAAUUCCUGGUGUAGCGGUGAAAUGCGCAGAUAUCGGGAGGAACGACCGGUGGCGAAGGCGGGUCUCUGGGCCGAUACUGACG
rnacentral:rRNA from 1 species